rnacentral:rRNA from 1 species
CCCUUAGAUGUCCUGGGCUGCACGCGCGCUACACUGGAAGUUACGGAUUGAGAUACUACCUUGUCCGAAAUGGUCCGGGUAAUCACCCAAAAGCUUGUCAUAAUUGGAAUGGAUUAUUGUAACUAGUAAUCCUGAACGAGGAAUUCCUAGUAAGUCCCAGUCAACAGCUGGUACUGAUUACGUCCCUGCCCUUUGUACACACCGCCCGUCGCUACUACUGAUUGGACGUUUAAGCAAGAUUUUUAAACACUGACAGUGUGUAGUUCACGCUAUACUACAGUGAGAAGAAGAAGAUCGAGCUUACUUGUCUAGAGGAAGUAAAAGUCGUAACA